rnacentral:rRNA from 1 species
GACGAACGCUGGCGGCGUGCUUAACACAUGCAAGUCGAACGGAAAGGCCCUGCUUUUGUGGGGUGCUCGAGUGGCGAACGGGUGAGUAACACGUGAGUAACCUGCCCUUGACUUUGGGAUAACUUCAGGAAACUGGGGCUAAUACCGGCUAGGAGCUCCUGCUGCAUGGUGGGGGUUGGAAAGUUUCGGCGGUUGGGGUUGGACUCGCGGCUUAUCAGCUUGUUGGUGGGGUAGUGGCUUACCAAGGCUUGGACGGGUAGCCGGACUGGGAGGGUGACCGGGCACAUUGGGCCUGAGGAACGGCCCAGACUCCUACGGGAGGCAGCGGUGGGGAAUAUUGCACGAUGGGCGGAAGCCGGAUGCAGCAACGCCGCGUGCGGGAUGACGGCCUUCGGGUUGUAAACCGCUUUCGCCUGUGACGAAGCGUGAGUGACGGUAAUGGGUAAAGAAGCACCGGCUAACUACGUG